GGCGAGGGGAGUGAAAAAGAACCUGAAACCGUGUACGUACAAGCAGUGGGAGCACAGGUUUACCUGUGUGACUGCGUACCUUUUGUAUAAUGGGUCAGCGACUUAUAUUCUGUAGCAAGGUUAACCGAAUAGGGGAGCCGGAGGGAAACCGAGUCUUAAUUGGGCGUUAAGUUGCAGGGUAUAGACCCGAAACCCGGUGAUCUAGCCAUGGGCAGGUUGAAGGUUGGGUAACACUAACUGGAGGACCGAACCGACUAAUGUUGAAAAAUUAGCGGAUGACCUGUGGCUGGGGGUGAAAGGCCAAUCAAACCGGGAGAUAGCUGGUUCUCCCCGAAAGCUAUUUAGGUAGCGCCUCGUGAAUUCAUCUCCGGGGGUAGAGCACUGUUUCGGCUAGGGGGCCAUCCCGGCUUACCAACCCGAUGCAAACUGCGAAUACCGGAGAAUGUUAUCACGGGAGACACACGGCGGGUGCUAACGUCCGUCGUGAAGAGGGAAACAACCCAGACCGCCAGCUAAGGUCCCAAAGUCAUGGUUAAGUGGGAAACGAUGUGGGAAGGCCCAGACAGCCAGGAUGUUGGCUUAGAAGCAGCCAUCAUUUAAAGAAAGCGUAAUAGCUCACUGGUCGAGUCGGCCUGCGCGGAAGAUGUAACGGGGCUAAACCAUGCACCGAAGCUGCGGCAGCGAUGGUUGGGUAGGGGAGCGUUCUGUAAGCCUGUGAAGGUGGCCUGUGAGGGUUGCUGGAGGUAUCAGAAGUGCGAAUGCUGACAUAAGUAACGAUAAAGCGGGUGAAAAGCCCGCUCGCCGGAAGACCAAGGGUUCCUGUCCAACGUUAAUCGGGGCAGGGUGAGUCGACCCCUAAGGCGAGGCCGAAAGGCGUAGUCGAUGGGAAACGGGUUAAUAUUCCCGUACUUGGUGUUACUGCGAAGGGGGGACGGAGAAGGCUAUGUUGGCCGGGCGACGGUUGUCCCGGUUUAAGCGUGUAGGUGUGUGUUCCAGGUAAAUCCGGUUCACUUUAACACUGAGGCGUGAUGACGAGGCACUACGGUGCUGAAGUAACAAAUGCCCUGCUUCCAGGAAAAGCCUCUAAGCAUCAGGUAACAUCAAAUCGUACCCCAAACCGACACAGGUGGUCAGGUAGAGAAUACCAAGGCGCUUGAGAGAACUCGGGUGAAGGAACUAGGCAAAAUGGUGCCGUAACUUCGGGAGAAGGCACGCUGACACGUAGGUGAAGUGAUUUACUCACGGAGCUGAAGUCAGUCGAAGAUACCAGCUGGCUGCAACUGUUUAUUAAAAACACAGCACUGUGCAAACACGAAAGUGGACGUAUACGGUGUGACGCCUGCCCGGUGCCGGAAGGUUAAUUGAUGGGGUCAGCGCAAGCGAAGCUCCUGAUCGAAGCCCCGGUAAACGGCGGCCGUAACUAUAACGGUCCUAAGGUAGCGAAAUUCCUUGUCGGGUAAGUUCCGACCUGCACGAAUGGCGUAAUGAUGGCCAGGCUGUCUCCACCCGAGACUCAGUGAAAUUGAACUCGCUGUGAAGAUGCAGUGUACCCGCGGCAAGACGGAAAGACCCCGUGAACCUUUACUAUAGCUUGACACUGAACAUUGAGCCUUGAUGUGUAGGAUAGGUGGGAGGCUUUGAAGCGUGGACGCCAGUCUGCGUGGAGCCGACCUUGAAAUACCACCCUUUAAUGUUUGAUGUUCUAACGUGGACCCGUUACCCGGGUUGCGGACAGUGUCUGGUGGGUAGUUUGACUGGGGCGGUCUCCUCCUAAAGAGUAACGGAGGAGCACGAAGGUUGGCUAAUCCUGGUCGGACAUCAGGAGGUUAGUGCAAUGGCAUAAGCCAGCUUGACUGCGAGCGUGACGGCGCGAGCAGGUGCGAAAGCAGGUCAUAGUGAUCCGGUGGUUCUGAAUGGAAGGGCCAUCGCUCAACGGAUAAAAGGUACUCCGGGGAUAACAGGCUGAUACCGCCCAAGAGUUCAUAUCGACGGCGGUGUUUGGCACCUCGAUGUCGGCUCAUCACAUCCUGGGGCUGAAGUAGGUCCCAAGGGUAUGGCUGUUCGCCAUUUAAAGUGGUACGCGAGCUGGGUUUAGAACGUCGUGAGACAGUUCGGUCCCUAUCUGCCGUGGGCGCUGGAGAACUGAGGGGGGCUGCUCCUAGUACGAGAGGACCGGAGUGGACGCAUCACUGGUGUUCGGGUUGUCAUGCCAAUGGCACUGCCCGGUAGCUAAAUGCGGAAGAGAUAAGUGCUGAAAGCAUCUAAGCACGAAACUUGCCCCGAGAUGAGUUCUCCCUGAGACUUAGAGUCUCCUGAAGGAACGUUGAAGACGACGACGUUGAUAGGCCGGGUGUGUAAGCGCAGCGAUGCGUUGAGCUAACCGGUA
rnacentral:rRNA from 1 species